CUCCUGGGAACAGAAACGCCUGCUCAUUCGAUGUUUGUACAGUGAUUAACACUUUGAGGCCACCACCAGGCUGAGGCCUCCAGCAGCUACUUCAAUAAAAGCAAGACAUAAGAAUGAAGAAAUUUGGCCUGAUCUUAGUGUCCUUAAUUUACCAUCCUGUAGAAGCAGCGAAACCUUAAGCAUCUGAAAUAGGCAUUGGACAAGACCACAAGGGAUCAAAGGGAACAAAUAUUCCUCCUCAGUCACACACAUUUUGAACCCACAAGGCAUGUGGCCAGUACAAAUAUGAAGCUGAACACCAAGGAACUGGCUUCAGAGAAGAAAUGCUUGCUGUUCACAUACUCCAGUAGCCUAUGAAUCAUGAUUUGAAAAGCUCUGUUC